UCUUUCUUCAUAUAACCUUAUCGUCGCGAUAGAAUAUUGUUCAUGAUCCUUCUCCAAUCUCCUCCAGGAAUGCCCUUAGAUUCCGAUCCGACGACCCUCUCUCCUUCCAUUCUGCCGCCUUCCUCCUCACCCCGUCGCCUCGAUCACCCGUCCUCGCGGAGCUCGGCAGUCACCCCCAUCCCCCAGGUGACCUCCGCCAUCCUUGCGUUCGUCGCCUGGUCCGACAGCCGCGGGGCGCCCACCAUCGGCACGCCGCACGAUAGGCUCACCGCGGAAUGGGACAGCGCUUUCACCCGCGAGCACCACUCGACCACCAGACCUUGUUCCCCUCCUCCCUCCAGCUCCACGCCCGCCUCCUACCUGUUGUCUCGCCGUACCACCAACAGGUAUGGCCGCCUCUUCUGCGCCAGGCCCGCUGAGAGUUCCACCAGCUCCCGCUUCGUGAAGUAGUGCAAGCUUCCGAAGGAGACGUACACCACCGACCGCUGCGUUUUCGAGUCCAGCCACUCCACGUACCUCUUCUCGUCCGGCUUGCCGGUGCUUGGAUCGGACUCUUUUAGGUUAGUGCUGGCAGCGAAUGGCCAGGAGGGGAUCAGUGGCCCUAUGGUCAGCAGGUCGAUCUCGUCCACCGUAGAGAGAGUGUCGGGCUUCAAGUAGAAGUCCGAGUCUACUGCUAGAUAAUGUGCGACAUUUAAUGCAUUAUAAGAAACAUCUUGCUGUUGAAAGGGAGAAUUAAGUUAAUUGAACAUGAAUAUGGCAGCAGAUGGGUGUAUAACGACAACCUGCAGCUUCACAACAAAGGGGAUGGGAACAAAUUGGUGUUGCCAAGAUCGAAGCAAAUACAAUAACACAUGAAUCAACAUUAAUUUGACACUUCCGAAAGGCAAACUCGCCAACCAUUAAAUACACUAUGUAUAGGAAAAAUUGAAUGUUCCAUACAUCUCAUAAAUUGAAUGUUUCGUUGUCUUAACUUUUGUACUUAAUAGUGUUUCUUUUCCAUUUUGUGUCUUUGAUUGCCAUUAAUGUUUCUCAAAUAGGUCUCUUGAGUAAAUUAUUAUACAGUGCAAGAAAUAGAAUAUAGAGAGGAAUUUGUUGUUUAUGUUUAAGAUUCAGGAUGUGGCUUAAUGUAACAAACAGCUCACCUGUUCAUGUAACUUUUGUUGUUAAUUCCAAUACUCAACUAAUAUGACUUGAUGAUUGCUAUCUGUCUUGUUCUUGUCAUACAAUAAGUGUUAUUUUACAUCUUAUUUACUGCUGUUGCCUGUUUUAUCAGUUCAUUCAUUUAAUUAUGUGAUCCUUGUCUUGUUUAUGCAUAUUAUUAUAUAUAUGUGGACAUACUUGGACCUGUGGUUUCUUAUCUUUGACACAAUUUUUUCUAUGGUGAAAGGUUCAUGAGAGUUUCCCUUUUUCAAUAGCGCUGUCAUGGAAAGGAUCUGCCCCUGAUUCUCUGACCAUUGGUUCAGAAAACCAGCAGCGUUCAGUUGUUUUUCCGAAAGGGAAUCCAAUCCCAAGUGUCAAAGCUCUUGCAUUUUAUAGAUCUACUACUUUCACAGUUGAUGUUGUGUAUGCUGAUGUGGGUGAUAUGCAAGUUCCAGCAAAAAUUAGCACAUACACAAUUGGUCCUUUCCAGACCAGCAAAGACGAGCGUGAUAAGUUGAAAGUAAAAGUUUGGUUGAAUCUCCAUGGAAUUGUUUCUAUUGAGCCAGCCACUAUGUUGGAAGAAGAGGAAGUUGAAGUUGCAACAUCGGACGUGGCAGAGCUGACAAAGUAAUCUAUGGACAUGGAUGAAGCAACAAAUGCUUCCUCAAAAACUGAAAAUGAUGUAGACGUGCAGGAAGCUCAUGGAACCACUGACAAUUCUAGUGAUGGGGUCGAGAAUGGGGCACCAGAGGCCGGGGAAAAGCCUGUUCAGAUGGAUACAGAUUCCAAGGUAAUAAAUGAAUGUGGAGAAGCAGAAAGCAUGGUUAUGGGAGAAGAAACAGCAGCAGGAUGCUUUACCUAAAUAUGCCAAUCCAGUUCUUCUUUCUCGAGAUCUAAAGAGAAAAGCUGAGACACUAGACAGGUUUUGCAAGCCGAUAAUGACAAAGCUGAGGCCACCUCCAGCCAAGCCACAGCCUUUUCCAACUGAGACACCACCAGCUCAACCUCAAACCGCUGAGCAGCAGCAGGUAACCGAUGGAAGCAGUCCGACACCACCUACAACAGCUUCCGAGCCGAUGGACACUGACAAAUCAGUCUGACGCCACCUACAACAGUUAUAGAAGAUAUCUCUGAACUCUCCGAUGCGAAAGUUGGCAAAGAACUUUUAGUGAAUUGCAUAGUAAUAGUUGUCUAAGAGUGUCCUCCCUUGGCACAUAAUCAUAAGUUGGUUGUCAAUUCAGUUUUGGAAACGGUCCCCGAUCGGUUAGGUUGGGGACUACCGGCGAUUGUGGCUCCUUUGUGUAUAUGAAGGGAAGAUGGUCUCACUUGCUGUUUGUCAAAAAUGUAUACAUGGUUAUCAUGGGUCUUAUCUUUACACUACAUUGUUAUUAGUGAUAGUGCAAUAUUAAUGCAGUUCAGUU